rnacentral:sRNA from 1 species
GAGAUGGAAGAAUGAUCUGAAAAUAUGCCUCCCCAGUGAACCUCAGCCCUGGCUGGCAGAUCUGGCUGGCUAAUGGGAGUCCCCUUGUCCUCUCCAUGGCUCCUGUGCCUCCCCUUUAAGACUGUGUGUGUAUUCCAAGAGGAUUACCUUCCCAGGUGGGGAUGUAUUGUUCUUAUAAUAAUGUAAAGGCUUACAGAAUUUCCUUGAAUGUUGCAUCUACUUUUAGGGUUCUGAAUCUAU